UGGUGGAGUGAUUUGUCUGGUUAAUUCCGUUAACGAACGAGACCUCGGCCUACUAAAUAGCCGAGCAUAGCUACGGCUAUGUAUCGGUCUUCUUAGAGGGACUUGUGGUGUGUAGCCACAGGAAGUUCGAGGCAAUAACA
rnacentral:rRNA from 1 species